GAAAUGCGAUACGUAAUGUGAAUUGCAGAAUUCAGUGAAUCAUCGAAUCUUUGAACGCAUAUUGCGCUCUCUGGUAUUCCGGAGAGCAUGCUUGUUUGAGUAUCAGUAAACACCUCAAAUCUUUCCUUCGCUUUCUUUUUUUGUGGAAAGCGAGAGAAAUAUUUGGAUUUGAGUGAUCCUAACGUAUAUAUUUUAUAUAUUAUGGCAGGUCACUUGAAAUGCAGGUGCAGCUGAACAAUCUUCUGAGCUAAAAGCAUAUUUAUUUAGUCCUACCUUCGCGGUUGGAUUAUUACUUUUUUGCUGCAGCUAACAUAAAGGUUGAUUGUUCAAAUGGCUGACUGAUGCAGGAAUUUUAUCAGUAAGCGGCUAAAAGCGCGCGAACUGUGAAUCUCGAUCUCAA
rnacentral:misc_RNA from 1 species